rnacentral:rRNA from 1 species
UACGUAGGGACCAAGCGUUGUUCGGAUUUACUGGGCGUAAAGGGCGCGUAGGCGGCGUGGUAAGUCACUUGUGAAAUCUCUGAGCUUAACUCAGAACGGCCAAGUGAUACUGCUGUGCUAGAGUGCAGAAGGGGCAAUCGGAAUUCUUGGUGUAGCGGUGAAAUGCGUAGAUAUCAAGAGGAACACCUGAGGUGAAGACGGGUUGCUGGGCUGACACUGACGCUGAUGCGCGAAAGCGUGGGGAGCGAACAGG